ACCUUAGAGGGCAAACGGUUAAUGCGCUUGACUGCUAACCAAAAAGUUGGUAGUUCAAGUCUUCCCAGAGGCG
rnacentral:tRNA from 1 species